rnacentral:rRNA from 1 species
UGACCGCUGGCGGCGUGCCUACUACAUGCAAGUCGAGCGAACAGAUGAGGAGCUUGCUCCUCUGACGUUAGCGGCGGACGGGUGAGUAACACGUGGAUAACCUACCUAUAAGACUGGGAUAACUUCGGGAAACCGGAGCUAAUACCGGAUAAUAUAUUGAACCGCAUGGUUCAAUAGUGAAAGACGGUUUUGCUGUCACUUAUAGAUGGAUCCGCGCCGCAUUAGCUAGUUGGUAAGGUAACGGCUUACCAAGGCAACGAUGCGUAGCCGACCUGAGAGGGUGAUCGGCCACACUGGAACUGAGCCACGGUCCAGACUCCUACGGGAGGCAGAAGUAGGGAAUCUUCGCAAUGGGCGAAAGCCUGACGGAGCAACGCCGCGUGAGUGAUGAAGGUCUUCGGAUCGUAAAACUCUGUUAUUAGGGAAGAACAAAUGUGUAAGUAACUAUGCACGUCUUGACGGUACCUAAUCAGAAAGCCACGGCUAACUACGUG